rnacentral:rRNA from 1 species
AUGAACGAAUUAAUGGGAGAUAGCUGUCUCAGGGGUAUUAGUACUAAAUUAGUAAGUAAGUGAAAAUACUUACGGGAAGAAAAUAGACGAGAAGACCCUAGAAGCUUGUUAUUUGUUUUGUUGGGGCGACAGAAUUGCAUUAGAACCAAUUUUAUAAAUGUGACGUAUAGCAGAAAAAAUAAGCUACUCUAGGGAUAACAGCAUAAUAAAAUUUGUUUGUGACCUCGAUGUUGGACUAGGUAGAAUAGUCCUUAGAAGGGACUAAAAAUGCUCUGUUCGAGCAGUUUAACCUACA